GACGAACGCUGGCGGCGUGCUUAACACAUGCAAGUCGAACGGAGUGGCGAACGGGUGAGUAACAUGUGGGUGACCUGUCCUGCACUUUGGGAUAAGCCUGGGAAACAGGGUCUAAUACCGGAUAGUGUGGGAUGGGCCCGCGGCCUAUCAGCUUGGUGGUGGGGUAAUGGCCAACCACUGCGGCGACGGGUAGCCGGCCUGGGAGGGUGGACGGCCACAUUGGGACUGAGACACGGCCCAGACUCCUACGGGGGGCAGCAGUGGGGAUUCUUGCACAAUGGGCGGGAGCCUGAUGCAGGGGGGCGGCGGGGGGGAUGACGGCCUUCGGGUUGUAAACUCCUUUAACCAUAGACGCGGUAGAUGGAGAAGAAGCACCGGCUAACUACGUGCCAGCAGCCGCGGUAAUAC
rnacentral:rRNA from 1 species